ACGGGUGAGUAACGCGUGGGAACAUACCCUUUUCUACGGAAUAGCUCUGGGAAACUGGAAUUAAUACCGUAUACGCCCUACGGGGGAAAGAUUUAUCGGGGAAGGAUUGGCCCGCGUUGGAUUCGCUAGUUGGUGGGGUAAAGGCCUACCAAGGCGACGAUCCAUAGCUGGUCUGAGAGGAUGAUCAGCCACAUUGGGACUGAGACACGGCCCAAACUCCUACGGGAGGCAGCAGUGGGGAAUAUUGGACAAUGGGCGCAAGCCUGAUCCAGCCAUGCCGCGUGAGUGAUGAAGGCCUUAGGGUUGUAAAGCUCUUUCACCGAUGAAGAUAAUGACGGUAGUCGGAGAAGAAGCCCCGGCUAACUUCGUGCCAGCAGCCGCGGUAAUACGAAGGGGGCUAGCGUUGUUCGGAAUUACUGGGCGUAAAGCGCACGUAGGCGGAUAUUUAAGUCAGGGGUGAAAUCCCAGAGCUCAACUCUGGAACUGCCUUUGAUACUGGGUAUCUUGAGUAUGGAAGAGGUAAGUGGAAUUGCGAGUGUAGAGGUGAAAUUCGUAGA
rnacentral:rRNA from 1 species